CCUACGGGAGGCAGCAGUGAGGAAUAUUGGUCAAUGGACGAGAGUCUGAACCAGCCCAGUAGCGUGAAGGAUGACUGCCCUAUGGGUGGUAAACUUCUUUUAUAUGGGAAUAAAAUGUUCCACGUGUGGGAUUUUGUAUGUACCAUAUGAAUAAGGAUCGGAUAACUCCGUGCCAGCAGCCGAGGUAAUACGGAGGAUCCGAGCGUUAUCCGGAUUUAUUGGGUUUAAAGGGAGCGUAGGUGGAUUGUUAAGUCAGUUGUGAAAGUUUGCGGCUCAACCGUAAAAUUGCAGUUGAAACUGGCAGUCUUGAGUACAGUAGAGGUGAGCGGAAUUCGUGGUGUAGCGGUGAAAUGCUUAGAUAUCACGAAGAACUCCGAUUGCGAAGGCAGCUCACUGGACUGCAACUGACACUGAGGCUCGAAAGUGUGGGUAUCAAACAGGAUUAGAUACCCUAGUAGUC
rnacentral:rRNA from 1 species